rnacentral:rRNA from 1 species
AGCGUGCGCAGGCGGUUAUGUAAGACAGAUGUGAAAUCCCCGGGCUCAACCUGGGAACUGCAUUAGUGACUGCAUAGCUGGAGUACGGCAGGAGGGGGAUGGAAUUCCGCGUGUAGCAGUGAAAUGCGUAGAUAUGCGGAGGAACACCGAUGGCGAAGGCAACUCCCCUGGGCCUGUACUGACGCUCAUGCACGAAAGCGUGGGGAGCAAACAGGAUUAGAUACCCUAGU